UACGUAGGGGCAAGCGUUGUCCGGAAUCAUUGGGCGUAAAGAGCGUGUAGGCGGUUCGGUAAGUCGGCUGUGAAAGUCCAGGGCUCAACCCUGGGAUGCCGGUCGAUACUGCCGGACUAGAGUUCGGAAGAGGCGAGUGGAAUUCCCGGGUGUAGCGGUGAAAUGACGCAGAUAUCAGGAGGAACACCGGUGGCGAAGGCGGUUCUCUGGGCAUUACCUGACGCUGAGGAGCG
rnacentral:rRNA from 1 species